UACGGAAGGCAGCAGUGGGGAAUAUUGCACAAUGGGCGAAAGCCUGAUGCAGCUAUGCCGCGUGUAUGAAGAAGGCCUUAGGGUUGUAAAGUACUUUCAUCGGGGAGGAAAAAACAAAACUAAUAAUUUUAUUUCUUGACGUUACCCGAAAAAGAAGCACCGGCUAACUCCGUGCCAGCAGCCGCGGUAAUACGGAGGGUGCUAGCGUUAAUCAGAAUUACUGGGCGUAAAGAGCACGUAGGUGGUUUUUUUAAGUCAGAUGUGAAAUCCCUGGGCUUAACCUAGGAACUGCAUUUUGAAACUGAAAUACUAGAGUAUCGUAGAGGGAGGUAGAAUUCUAGGUGUAGCGGUGAAAUGCGUAGAUAUCUGGAGGAAUACCUGUGGCGAAAGCGGCCUCCUAAACGAAUACUGACACUGAGGUGCGAAAGCGUGGGGAGCAAACGAGGGAUUAGAUACC
rnacentral:rRNA from 1 species